CCAAUCAGGAAGCUGGGGUGAUAUGGGA
rnacentral:piRNA from 1 species